UACGUAGGGGGCUAGCGUUGUCCGGAAUCAUUGGGCGUAAAGAGCGUGUAGGCGGCUUGGUAAGUCCGCUGUGAAAGUCCAGGGCUCAACCCUGGAAUGCCGGUGGAAACUAUCAAGCUAGAGUCCGGAAGAGGCGAGUGGAAUUCCUGGUGUAGCGGUGAAAUGCGCAGAUAUCAGGAGGAACACCAAUGGCGAAGGCAGCUCGCUGGGACGGUACUGACGCUGAGACGCGAAAGCGUGGGGAGCAAACAGG
rnacentral:rRNA from 1 species